AUUGAACGCUGGCGGCAGGCCUAACACAUGCAAGUCGAGCGGAUGAAGGGAGCUUGCUCCUGGAUUCAGCGGCGGACGGGUGAGUAAUGCCUAGGAAUCUGCCUGGUAGUGGGGGAUAACUUCCGGAAACUGGCGCUAAUACCGCAUACGUCCUGAGGGAGAAAGUGGGGGAUCUUCGGACCUCGCGCUAUCAGAUGAGCCUAGGUCUGAUUAGCUAGUUGGUGGGGUAAAGGCCUACCAAGGCGACGAUCCGUAACUGGUCUGAGAGGAUGAUCAGUCACACUGGAACUGAGACACGGUCCAGACUCCUACGGGAGGCAGCAGUGGGGAAUAUUGGAAAAUGGGCGAAAGCCUGAUCCAGCCAUGCCGCGUGUGUGAAGAAGGUCUUCGGAUUGUAAAGCACUUUAAGUUGGGAGGAAGGGCAGUAAGUUAAUACCUUGCUGUUUUGACGUUACCAACAGAAUAAGAACCGGCUAACUUCGUG
rnacentral:rRNA from 1 species